rnacentral:lncRNA from 1 species
GCAUAACCCUUCUUAGCAACAGCAAGCAGCUGAGCAGAAAGUAAUUGCAGGAGGCAGAGCCAAGAGGAAAACUGCUGAGAGUGCUGACGGAAAAUAUCCUGAGGAGAUAAUCAAGAUGUGCAGUCAAGAAUUUAUGAACAAAAGAUACUCACUGCAGAGCCAUAAUUGAGAAGAACUGGAAAGGACUUAACAUGCCUCCCAGGUGGGGCUUGGCUCUGCAAAUCCUCAUCUGACUCUAUGAUGGAAUGGGAUGCAUCCGGUCAUGCAGUCAUCCGUGCGACAAAUAGUUCUUCAGUACCUACUCUGCGUUAGGUAAACAAUGCAGAGUAUUGUUAACUUGGCUGGGUAAACAGUAAAUCCUAUGUCUGGGAGGUAACCCGAUCACCGCGGAAAGAACGCCGACAUGGAAAUCUUAGGAUUGGUUUCUCGUUCCAGGAAGUUGCGCUACUUUGGGCAAAUCACGUCACCUCUGGGACUGUUUCUAAUCAGAAUAAAGAAAGGGCUGGACCA